rnacentral:rRNA from 1 species
UACGAAGGGUGCAAGCGUUACUCGGAAUUACUGGGCGUAAAGCGUGCGUAGGUGGUUUGUUAAGUCUGAUGUGAAAGCCCUGGGCUCAACCUGGGAAUUGCAUUGGAUACUGGCAGGCUAGAGUGCGGUAGAGGGUAGUGGAAUUCCUAGUGUAGAGGUGAAAUUCGUAGAUAUUAGGAAGAACACCAGUGGCGAAGGCGGCUCACUGGCCCGGUACUGACGCUGAGGCGCGAAAGCGUGGGGAGCAAACAGG